UCGUAUAACGGAGGUGCCGGGGCUGUCGCUGACUUUGUGCACGCCUCGGUGCUCUCUCACAAUCCGUCUCACCCCCUUUUGUGCAUCACCGCGUGGGCGCUCUCCUUUUUGAAAGGGGGCGUUUGCGCUUUUACACAGACCCACCGCAUGUGUAGAAUGUCUUACUAUUUGCGAUAACACGCAAUCAAUA
rnacentral:misc_RNA from 1 species